GCAAAACUUGUCUACUGUAUAUUUGGGAUUGUUGAGUUAUAAUUUAAUGAGUAUUUGUAAAUCA